rnacentral:snRNA from 1 species
GUAUGUGAGGGCAAUAUGGCUGCGACAUAUGUCACCCCAUUGAUUGCCAGGGUUGAUUUGGCUGAUCUGGCUGGCUAGGCAGGUGUCCCUAUCAUCCCUCACCACCCCAUGUGCGUCCCUCCUGAAGCAGCGCACUCGGUUGAAGAGGAUGACCUUCCCCACUAGAGGAGGACCGGUCUUUGGUCAAGGGUAUACGAGCAGCUGCACUCCCCAGCUAGAACUUUCAAACAAGCUCUCAAGUCUCAUUAUUUCAACACUUUAGUUUUUCUAUAAAUUAUGAAUUUAUAAACUCAAUUAUUAUCUUU